AUGAACGCUAGCGGCAGGCUUAACACAUGCAAGUCGAGGGGCAGCACGAGGUAGCAAUACUUUGGUGGCGACCGGCGCGCGGGUGCGUAACGCGUAUGCAACCUACCUUUAACAGGGGCAUAACACUGAGAAAUUGGUACUAAUUCCCCAUAACAUUCGAGAAGGCAUCUUCUUGGGUUAAAAACUCCGGUGGUUAAAGAUGGGCAUGCGUUGUAUUAGCUAGUUGGUGAGGUAACGGCUCACCAAGGCAACGAUACAUAGGGGGACUGAGAGGUUAACCCCCCACAUUGGUACUGAGACACGGACCAAACUCCUACGGGAGGCAGCAGUGAGGAAUAUUGGUCAAUGGACGCAAGUCUGAACCAGCCAUGCCGCGUGCAGGAAGACGGCUCUAUGAGUUGUAAACUGCUUUUGUACUAGGGUAAACGCUUCUACGUGUAGGAGCCUGAAAGUAUAGUACGAAUAAGGAUCGGCUAACUCCGUGCCAGCAGCCGCGGUAAUACGGAGGAUCCAAGCGUUAUCCGGAUUUAUUGGGUUUAAAGGGUGCGUAGGCGGUUUGAUAAGUUAGAGGUGAAAUACCGGGGCUCAACUCCGGAACUGCCUCUAAUACUGUUGAACUAGAGAGUAGUUGCGGUAGGCGGAAUGUAUGGUGUAGCGGUGAAAUGCUUAGAGAUCAUACAGAACACCGAUUGCGAAGGCAGCUUACCAAACUAUAUCUGACGUUGAGGCACGAAAGCGUGGGGAGCAAACAGGAUUAGAUACCCUGGUAGUCCACGCAGUAAACGAUGAUAACUCGUUGUCGACGAUACACAGUCGGUGACUAAGCGAAAGCGAUAAGUUAUCCACCUGGGGAGUACGUUCGCAAGAAUGAAACUCAAAGGAAUUGACGGGGGCCCGCACAAGCGGAGGAACAUGUGGUUUAAUUCGAUGAUACGCGAGGAACCUUACCCGGGCUUGAAAGUUAGUGACGAUUCUGGAAACAGGAUUUCCCUUCGGGGCACGAAACUAGGUGCUGCAUGGUUGUCGUCAGCUCGUGUCGUGAGAUGUUGGGUUAAGUCCCGCAACGAGCGCAACCCCUAUCUUCAGUAGCCAGCGGUAAGGCCGGGCACUCUGGAGAGACUGCCAGGGAUAACCUGGAGGAAGGUGGGGAUGACGUCAAAUCAGCACGGCCCUUACGUCCGGGGCUACACACGUGUUACAAUGGUAGGUACAGAGGGCCGCUACCCCGUGAGGGGAUGCCAAUCUCGAAAGCCUAUCUCAGUUCGGAUCGGAGGCUGAAACCCGCCUCCGUGAAGUUGGAUUCGCUAGUAAUCGCGCAUCAGCCAUGGCGCGGUGAAUACGUUCCCGGGCCUUGUACACACCGCCCGUCAAGCCAUGGAAGCUGGGGGUGCCUGAAGUUCGUGACCGCAAGGAGCGACCUAGGGCAAAACCGGUGACUGGGGCU
rnacentral:rRNA from 1 species